AAAUAAGAAGCAAUUUUGCAUUUAAUUUCGACUUAAAGAAAGAGUAACUACUCCUUAUUUA
rnacentral:tRNA from 1 species